rnacentral:rRNA from 1 species
CCUACGGGAGGCAGCAGUAGGGAAUUUUCGUCAAUGGGCGCAAGCCUGAACGAGCAAUGCCGCGUGAACGAGGAAGGUCUUCGGAUCGUAAAGUUCUGUUGACGGGGAAAAAAGACCGGGAAAGGAAAUGAUCCCGGAGGAGAUAUUACCCGUCGAGGAAGUCACGGCUAACUACGUGCCAGCAGCCGCGGUAAUACGUAGGUGGCGAGCGUUAUCCGGAAUGAUUGGGCGUAAAGGGUGCGUAGGCGGUCGAUUAAGUCUGGAGUGAAAGGUACCGGCUCAACCGGUAUAGGCUCCGGAAACUG